UACGAAGGGGGCUAGCGUUGCUCGGAAUCACUGGGCGUAAAGCGCACGUAGGCGGAUUGCUAAGUCAGGGGUGAAAUCCUGGAGCUCAACUCCAGAACUGCCCUUGAUACUGGCGGUCUCGAGUCCGGGAGAGGUGAGUGGAACUGCGAGUGUAGAGGUGAAAUUCGUAGAUAUUCGCAAGAACACCAGUGGCGAAGGCGGCCGCCUGGACCUGACCUGACGCUGAGGCGCGAAGGCGUGGGGAGCGAACAGG
rnacentral:rRNA from 1 species